GACGAACGCUGGCGGCAUGCCUAACACAUGCAAGUCGAACGGAACUUUGAGAAUGAAGUUUUCGGAUGGAUUUUUUAAAGUUUAGUGGCGGACGGGUGAGUAACGCGUGAGCAACCUGCCUUUCAGAGGGGGACAACAGUUGGAAACGACUGCUAAUACCGCAUAAUGUAUCGAGAUCGCAUGACCUUGAUACCAAAGAUUAUAUCGUUGAAAGAUGGGCUCGCGUACGAUUAGAUAGUUGGUGAGGUAACGGCUCACCAAGUCGACGAUCGUUGGCCGGACUGAGAGGUUGAACGGCCACAUUGGGACUGAGACACGGCCCAGACUCCUACGGGAGGCAGCAGUGAGGAAUAUUGGGCAAUGGGCGCAAGCCUGACCCAGCAAUGCCGCGUGAAGGAAGACGGUUUUCGGAUUGUAAACUUCUUUUAAGAGGGACGAUAAUGACGGUACCUCUUGAAUAAGCCACGGCUAACUACGUGCCAGCCGCCGCGGUAAAAC
rnacentral:rRNA from 1 species